rnacentral:sRNA from 1 species
UGGUUCCCCAAUAUACCAAACUUAAUAGA